ACGUCACUUCCCCCUUUCUUAUCAGGAAAAUUAAGAAGAAAAACGUCACUUCCGUCUCUUCUGGUGCCAAUCUAAUUAAUUGUUAUCUCUAUCAUCGUCUUAUCCGCCGACAUCUCGAUCCAAGAGAAUUCCGCUCAUCACAAUCUUGUUAAUUGUUAUCUCCGUCAUCAUCUAAUACGCCGACAUCUCGAUCCAAGAGAAUUCCGUUCAUCACAAUAUUUUGAUGUGAUUUCUGCCUGCGGACAGAUGGAAAAUCAACGUAAUCCUAACUGCGACAGAUCGACACAGCUAACGGUGUCGGAAGAAGGAGAGUUCGUCGGCAAUUCGUCACCUUGUCAAGUGUCUUAUUCCCCAUUUUCUUGGCUGCUGGAGGUGCUUGAUUGAAACACGCACUUCCUGUUGCAGAUCGAGCAGGUGCAUUUUGCUUCUUGCUCUUCCAAGACACCAAGUUACCUCCUACUAAAAGACAAUAUCCCAAAGUAGAACGUCUAUCAGAAGGUGAUUCUGCCUAAUUAGCGUCUAUGUAUCCAACGAUCUGCUCAUGGCCUCAAUCCUCGAACAACAGUUAUUUGCCUAGGGCUGAUUUUAUAUACUGAAGAAUUCAGCACACUCACAAAGAAGGAAAUAUAAGGUCUAAUCAUUGUGAGGUAAUUCAACUUACCAACCAGCUGCCUAGAUGUUGCAGGAUCACUAAGAGGCUCCCCUUGUCCUGGCAGAAGUUUGGUAUUUGGAUCUAUAGGAGGGUCAAUGGGUCUACAACACGUCAUUCAUGUCUCUCAAGAAUAUAUAAGGCAUACUUUCGUGCUCAGAGUUGGUUGAAUUUAAAGUAAUGGUGAGCUAUCAUAGGGCUAAGUUGGUAGAACUUUGGCUACUCUAUCGAAAGAUCAGAGUGUAUUGUGGUCGUGUAGUCUACUAAAAAGACGAAAAAUGAAGGUAUGUUUGUGUCCCAUUUUAACUUAUCAAGGAAGGUCUGUUUGCAUUUCAUUAUAACUUGAAAAUGAAGGUAUGUUGCCGGAAGGAAAAUUGAUGCACGGGAACUUCUGGCUGUAUUCUGGUUCCUGAAUGUGUUUGACCACCACUGCUCUUCACGGAAAAAUAAUAUUAUUGAUGUUAUUUCACAAUAUAAUACAAGAAGUCCUAUUUAUAGAUAUACUCUAUGUAGCAUAUAUUAAUUCGUAUUUCAGUGUGGGACUAGACACACUUAUAUACACAAGGAUGAUGCUUGUAAGCUCUAAUUUAAAAACAUACAAGAGCUAAUAAAGGUAAUAUUUUGUCUUGUUUAGAAGUGUACAAGAGCUAAUAAAGGUAAUAUUCUAUCUGAUUUAAAAACAUUCAAGAGCUAAUAAAAUUAAGAUUUAGAAACAUACAAGAACAACUGAGUUAAAAUUUUAGAAACAUCAUCCAUAUCAAACCAAAAGACGGAAGAGAUAAUAUCAUAUUGGAUCAAUCAUAUACAUAUAGAAACUUUUGUAAUAACAUAUAUGUAGAAACUUAUUUAACCAUAAUAGCAUGAAAUAUUUCUUUUGCUAGUCACUCACAUUUUUGUUUGCAGCUUCGGACAUCCUUGGUACCUAAUCUUUAAUGUUCAUGUUGCCUGGUUCGACAAGUAUCAAGGUCAUACAAUUCCAGACACGAGUUCUAAGCAUCGUGCUCAGAGUUGGUUGAAUUUAAAGUAAUGGUGAGCUAUCAUAGGGCUAAGUUGGUAGAACUUUGGCUACUCUAUCGAAAGAUCAGAGUGUAUUGUGGUCGUGUAGUCUACUAAAAAGACGAAAAAUGAA